rnacentral:tRNA from 1 species
GCCUGGGUGGCUCAGUCGGUUAAGCGUCCGACUUCGACUCAGGUCAUGAUCUCGCGGUCCGUGAGUUCGAGCCCCACGUCAGGCU